CCUACGAGAGGCAGCAGUGGGGAAUAUUGCACAAUGGGGGAAACCCUGAUGCAGCGACGCAGCGUGAGUGAAGAAGUAUUUCGGUAUGUAAAGCUCUAUCAGCAGGGAAGAUAAUGACGGUACCUGACUAAGAAGGCCCGGCUAACUACGUGCCAGCAGCCGCGGUAACACGUAGGGGGCAAGCGUUAUCCGGAUUUACUGGGUGUAAGGGGAGCGAAGGUGGCAGGGCAAGUCAGAUGUGAAAACCCGGGGCUCAACCCCGGGAGUGCAUUUGAAACUGUCAAGCUGGAGUGCAGGAGAGGUAGGCGGAAUUCGUAGUGUAGCGGUGAGAUGCAUAGAUAGUAGGAGGAACACCAGUGGCGAAGGCGGCUUACUAGACUGUAACUGACACUGAUGCUCGAAAGCGUGGGUAGCAAACAGGAUUAGAUACCCCAGUAGUC
rnacentral:rRNA from 1 species